CUCAACCAACCAAGCCACCCAGAGACCCCAAAACCACUAAAAUUUUUGAGGAAUUGUUUUAUUUUGUGUUGUGCCACCAAAAUCAUUCUUGCGGGGGGCACACAAAGUGGAGGGGAAGAUGUCGCUUGAGUCACAGGACCCUUGGUAUGCAAACCACAGCUGUAGCUUUGGCAAUGGUAAGCAAAUGAAGCGCCAAGAAUCUCUUUGGAAAAGGAGCAAAUAUAAGAAGGAUUUACUGAAAUGAUUGGAUUAGAAAUUGUUCUGAAGAAGGAAAGAAGUUGAGAAAAAACGUAUAGGGUUUUCACUGCCUUCUACUGAUUUAGAUGGGACGCACAGUCACACAAAGUGGUAAUACGUUCAUUUGUUUCUCUGAAUCGGUUACUUGAGUUUUCAACUAAUGGGAGAAAAUUAGAAGCUCUUAGCAUUAUAUGAGGAAAAGGAAGCCAUUUAGAGCAAGGGGAAGACAUCAAUUACCAAUAGUAUUCCAUAGAUUCUCCUUUUUAUAGUUUCUAAACCCAUACAUUAAGGGGAAACUAUCAUGACUAUGUCUACCAUAGUAUGCUCUGCUGUGUAGACAUUUAUCCAAAGAAACUUUCAUGAGCUCUACCAUGUGCCCAGCACUCUGAGAAGCACUCACUGCUCAGAACGAGGUCCUUGUGCCCAGGAAAGCAGCUGCAACAGUGCUUCCAGCUGAGGAACAAUGGGAUGCUAUGCCAUCCCCACUCUGCAAACUCAAGGCUAGGCACUGGCCACUCAGGACAGAAAGGGAAGACUCUCCUUGCCAGCCAGAUGGUGGCCAAGUUAUCCAGACUGAAAAAUCCUAGUUAGAAGAGCAGGAAAAAUCUCAUAGCAUUGAUACUCUAGCAGAUCAGGAGCUUCAGGCCAAAAUUUAAGUGAAGAUGGCUACCUAGAGAAGCACAUAGGGGACCAAGGCGACUUUGGCUCCAACUGUGCUCAACAAGAUGACAUUGAGAUUUGGUUUUCACGAACACAUGGGUAAAGGGACUGGGGGGAGCCUGUCUGAGGUGAUGGGUCUAAUAGAAAUCCCUCAUCCAUAAAGUUGCGAUCCCAGUGGCCAUGUCCUUGAUGUGAAGGUGAAACGGAAAAAAAAGCAUCGAUGUGGGUACGUAGGUAGGUAACAAUCAUUCGCCAAGAGUCACACUUAUCAGGAUUCACAGUUUUAGAAAUUCCAUAUCAUUUCUUCUGUUCAGCAGCAAUUUAUUUCUGAGGCGAUGAAGUAUCUGCUCUGACAGAGAAAAAGAGAGGGGGUAUUUAAAGGAGAUUAAAAGGCACAUCAAGUCAACAUACAAGAAUUUGUUUGCUUUGGGUCCAGGGUGAGGUGUUUUGGCAGCAAAAUCCAGUCUUUUCUUUUUUGGGCACAUCUUAAGCUCCCUGGAUGGUCAUGUGACCAAGUUCUCUCCAAUGGAGUGUGAACAAAGGUAACGUGGCUCCCUUCCAGAUCAGGAAACACUCUGGCACAUGCUUCUCCACUUCUGCCUUUGGACCAGACAAUGACGGUGUUGUCCAGAGAGAUCGAGUGUAAGGAUGAAAGAGUGUCCAUCAGCGUGAGUGCCCGAAUGGCUGUCCGUCGAGAUGACCCACAGACCUGAACAACUGUGAGAAAGUAAUAAACUGCCUUGUGCUAAACCCCUGACACGUUGGGGUCUGGUGGUGGCUUCCAGCUAGCCUAACCUGACCAACGCAAAAUCCAAGCACCCGCCAUUCUGAAGAGUUAAGGACUUGGAAGACCGGAGCAGAGGGGAGUAGUGAAUCCUGAGACAGGCAGGAGAGAAUGAAAAACAGAACUUACUACGUGUUUUCAUUUGUUUUAUUAUGGAGGCCAUUGCUGAUUAUAAAAUCCAUGUUGAGAUGAAGAACAAAGCAAAUCAAACUUAUGUCCUGGUGCUACAGUCCUAGGACCUUGGGAACUUCUCAGAUGGCCCUUCCUGAUGGCAUGCCUUUCACGCCUAGAGAGGCGGCUCCUGUGUUGACUUUUACAAUAAUCUCUCGCGUGCUUUUCUUCAUAGUUUUACAGACAUAUUAUUCAUACCUAACAUUUUCUUUUAAAAUUUUAAAUAAGUGGUAUAUGGUUUUACGUAAAAAUCAUUCUGUACCUUGUGAUGGUUAAUUUUGUGUUAACUUGACUAUACUAAGGGGUGCCAGAUAACGCAUUGUUUCUGGGUCUGUCUGUGAGGGUGUUUCCAGCUGAGAUUAGCAUCUGAAUCACGGCAGAUUGCCGUCCCUGGGGGCAUCAUCCAAUCCUCCCGGGACCUGAACUGAACAACAAGGUUGAAGAAGGAAGAAUUUGCCUCUUUUCCUUUCUAGCCUGUGUGAAUGGGGACAUUAGUCGUCUCUUGCCCCAGGACUGGAAUUUGUACCAUAAGCUGCCUGGUUCUUAGGCCUUUUGGAGUCAGAGUGGAAAUCUAUCAAGAGCUCUCCUGGGUCUCCAGCUUGCAGACAGCAGAACCUGGGACUUCCCAGCCUCCAUAAUCAUAAUUGAUUCAGCCGACAAUGGACUACUAUAAAGUAAUUAAAUAUUUUGGUGCAAAGAAUAUUUGAUGUAAUGGAAAAUACUCAACACAUGUUACUGAAUGAAAAUUUUUCAAAGGGCCAGCUGCAUGCGGCAGAUUAUUACCUAGUCAAUGUGGAACACGGCCAACCGCUGGGGAGGCAUCGGACAUUAUGCCAUCAUGUCAAGCAGUCACCAAGACCAGCCCUUUCCCCUGGAGCCUGUUAACAAUUAAAAUGUUGUGGAUUG